CAAGAAUACAAUAUGUAAGGUUUUUUUAUGGACGUUUGUUUAUAAUUUGUGGCACAUAUGUGCAUUAAGAACUUUCCUAUGAAGAAAACACGUCAAUCCGAAAUCGGAAGUUCGUCAUCCAACAGAGACAGACAUCAACUGCUGACCCGGAAGUGCUCCCGACGGAAGUGACGCAUCCGGAAACCGGAAGUUUGUGAUGAUAUGUAGCACUUUUGACAAAGACCAUAGUUCGAAACGCAUCAGUGCAGCUGAUGUUUUAUCGG